CCGUGCCCAAGAGAUCGGGAUAACACCUGGAAACAGAUGCUAAUACCGGAUAAUAACAGAUGAUGCCUAUCAACUGUUUUAAAAGAUGGUUCUGCUAUCACUCUUGGAUGGACCUGCAGUGCAUUAGCUAGUUGGUAGGGUAACGGCCUACCAAGGCGAUGAUGCAUAGCCGAGUUGAGAGACUGAUCGGCCACAUUGGGACUGAGACACGGCCCAAACUCCUACGGGAGGCAGCAGCC
rnacentral:rRNA from 1 species